rnacentral:lncRNA from 1 species
GUAACCUCCAAUCAGAGGCAGCUCAGCUGUUGCCUUGGAAACACCCGUUGCCAUAACAGCAGCUGAUGGAGGCGCAGGCAAGGCAGAUGGUGGCAGAGGGGGACAGCCGUGGCCGGCAGAGUGGGACGGCUGUGUUGGCACGGGAGAUGUGGGGCAGCAUGCUCAGAGCCCUCCCUGGGGCAAGCAGGCACAGAGCUCACAGCCCCAUCUUGGGCAGAGCAGCCCCACUCCUGUAGCUCCUCUGCCACGGGAGCAAGGGUUGGAUGCAACCCUCGGUGUGCUCAUGGGCUUUGCCACCUCCCCAGGAUCCCUUUGUGCUCUGUGCUUCUGCUGAGGCCAUUGCACAGUGGGAUCAUCACCCGAAGGCUGGAUACACACCAUCUCCCAGCCCAGCAGACCAGCCCCAGGAGGGUAAGAAGACGCUUGAAUGCCCCAGCACAUACCUGGAUCUGCCCCUUGCCCAUGAUCUUGUCCACAAUUUCAUUGUUGUCCUUGUUGAGCUUGGUCUUGUCAUAGCACUUCUCAUAGCAGAGGAUGCGCAGGGACUGGGAACCUUCCAGCUCAAUCUCAAACUCCUGGGGAGAGGAGAGAGGAUGGCUCAGCACCAGCACCUGAAUCAGCUCCAAAGCCUGGGCUGGAAGCUCGUGGUCGGGGAUGACAUGCACCUGUGGGCAGUGCUCCGACUCCUCCGGCGAGGGGAACACCAGGUCAGCCAGGGGCACGUACCACUUGCAGUCAUACUGCUGGUGCUUCCUGCAGCCGAGGUGUGAGCACUGAGAGACGCCACCCAGCCCUACUGGAUCCCACCGGAGGCUGAGGCAUCCAGCUCAUCCCCCCCCCCAAACCCAGUGCCCUUCUUACCCCACCGCUGUCUUCUUCAGCUUGGCACAGAGCAGCACGUCGGUGAAGAGGAAGACGUGCCGCAGCUUCCGGGAGCCCUCUGACAGCUCCACCAAGAAACCAUCCUUGAUGAGCUGCCGGGUCUG